CGGAAACAGAGGGAUGCAAGCCGGCGACGGCAAGCGAACCCCAGAAACACCGUCCCAGUUCGGACUGUAGUCUGCAACCCGACUACACGAAGCCGGAAUCGCUAGUAAUCGCGGAUCAGAAUGCCGCGGUGAAUACGUUCCCGGGUCUUGUACACACCGCCCGUCACACCAUGGGAGUCGGAAAUGCCCGAAGUCAGUGACCGAACCUUUAAGGAAGGAGCUGCCGAAGGUGGAGCCGGUAACUGGGGUGAAGUCGUAACAAGGUAAC
rnacentral:rRNA from 1 species